rnacentral:lncRNA from 1 species
UUAAAGCUAAAGAAACAGAUUUCGGUUAGUUGAUACAAUUUUUUUUUAAUUGAAGUUUUUCUUUUCUUUUUUUUUUAAGUUUUUCUAAAUCAAAUCUGUUUCUUGACACACAACUUUCAUUGCAAAAUAUUAAAAAGGUCAACUCAAAAAAGAUUUUCUCUGGUUAUAUGCAUAUUAAACUACUUAAAAUGAGGGCUGUCAACCUGAACAAUUUCUUAUGGAGUAUAUGUGAAAGAAAACCUGACAAAUUUUCAGAUAUGAUUUGUACACAAAAUGACUGAUUUCUUUCCCCAAUGGGUCUUGCAGAACUAUAUUUCAUAUCCUUUUUUUCCUCUGCUCUACAAAUUGCAGACAAUUGAUUUAAUAUCAGACUGCAAAUUUGUUCUAAAUCACUGGUGGUACAAAUUUAAAAAUUUAUUUUCUCUUUUAAAAAAAUCCUGAAUAACUAGAUUUAUGUCAAAUUCCUAGAACUAAUUUAUAUUAAAGACAUCCA